rnacentral:rRNA from 1 species
CCAGACUCCUACGGGAGGCAGCAGUGGGGGAUAUUGCACAAUGGGGGAAACCCUGAUGCAGCGACGCCGCGUGGGCGAAGAAGUACUUCGGUAUGUAAAGCUCUAUCAGCAGGGAAGAAAGAAAUGACGGUACCUGACUAAGAAGCCCCGGCUAACUACGUGCCAGCAGCCGCGGUAAUACGUAGGGGGCAAGCGUUAUCCGGAUUUACUGGGUGUAAAGGGGGCGUAGACGGCGAUGCAAGUCUGAAGUGAAAGGCGGGGGCCCAACCCCCGGACUGCUUUGGAAACUGUAUGGCUGGAGUGCAGGAGAGGUAAGUGGAAUUCCUAGUGUAGCGGUGAAAUGCGUAGAUAUUGGGAGGAACACCAGUGGCGAAGGCGGCUUACUGGACUGUAACUGACGUUGAGGCUCGAAAGCGUGGGGAGCAAACAGGAUUAGAUACCCUGGUAA